UGAAUUGCGAUAAGUAAUGUGAAUUGCAUCACCUGUGAAUCAUCAAAUCUUUGAACGCACCUUGCGCUUUUUGGGUCUACCGAAAAGCAUACCUGUUUGAGUAUCAGAAAGUACUCUACUUUUAUUAGUAGGAAUUGAGGUUUAGCUUUGGUUAUUCCUUGAAAUUGAGGUAGUGAUAUCGAGUAUACAAACUCUAGUCAAAAGUGCGGUAAGAAAAAGGUAGUUUUUCUCCCACUGAUACGACGAAGGGUGAGUUUAUUUGGUGCUAAUUCACUAAAACUUUUUAUUGAACCUUUGAUCUCAAAUCAGGUAGGAUUACCCGCUGAACUUAA
rnacentral:misc_RNA from 1 species